rnacentral:lncRNA from 1 species
AUGGGGAAGAGAGCCUUUAAAAAAGAGCUAAAAGCCACAAUUAAGAUCAGAUUCGUGGAAGUUUUGUGUGUUUGGCAGCACAGAAGCCAAGAGCAGCCCGGUGCGCUUCUCCCUGCAUGUUCAACAUCUGGAAUACCGAUCGUCGAGUUCUGGGAACAUCUGGAACACCGAUCACUGAGUUCUGGGAACACACAGAACAAGUUGCUUUGCAGCACGCACGUUCCCCUUGCAGGGCUGGAAACGUUUUAUACAGCAAAUCUGAUGUGCCAGAAUCCACAUGGUCAGCUGCAAACCCUUCCCUGCCCUGGAGCCGUGUGUGAUUUCUGCAGCCGAAUCAUCAAAAGGAGCACAGGAGAGGAAGGGGGCAAGCGAUGGAAAGCCCAACGAUUCACCACAAGAGGAGUAUUAUGGGGUGCAGAAAUAACUCAGCCAGCGGAGAAGGCAGAAGGUGUCCCCCUCCCAAGCUUACAUUGCUGUGGAAGAGCUGACGGCGGGACCCCAGGUGCCACCCAAGGACUGGGACAUCCCCAACCCAACUGCAGUCUGCGGUCCCCAGAGCAAACUGUGAGUGAGCAGUGGGUGCCCCCAGAGCGCCCUGGGGUGGGAGUGGGGGGGGGGUCAAAUUGGGUGAGCUUCAAGGACUCUUCCAACCCAAUCAUCCCAUGGUUCUAUAAUCUUCAAGGUCCCUUCCAACCCAAUCAUCCCAUGGUUCCAUGACCUUUCAGGACCCUUCCAACCCAACCAUCCCAUGGUUCUGUGAUCUUUAAGGGCCCUUCCAAUUCAAUCAUCCCAUGGUUCUAUGAUCUUCCAGGACCCUUCCAACCCAACCAUCCCAUGGUUCUGUGAUCUUUCAGGACCCUUCCAACCCAACCAUCCCAUGGUUCUGUGAUUUUUCAGGACCCUUCCAACCCAACCAUCCCAUGGUUCCGUGACCUUUCAGGACCCUUCCAACCCAGCCAUCCCAUGGUUCUGUGAUCUUCAAGAAUCCUCCCAACCCAACCAUCCCAUGGUUCUAUGAUCUUUCAGAACCCUUUCAGCUCAGCCAUCCUAUGGUUCUGUGACCAUUAAGGUCCCUUCCAACCCAACCAUCCCCUGCUUCUAUCAUCUUGAAGGUCCUUUCCAAUCCAACCAUCCCAUGGCUUUAUGAUCUUUCAGGACCUUUCCAACACAACCAUCCGAUGCUUCUGUGUUCUUUCUGGACCCUUCCAACCCAACUAUUGUUCUGUGAUCUUUAAGGACCCUCCUAACACAACCCACCACUGCAGGUUCCUCUCUUCCCACCCUCCCCACCCACAUUUCCCUCCACCCCUACCCUAUGCAGUCAGUUCAGGUCUCCUUGCUCCUCUCCUUGCUCCUUCCCCUCAUGGUGUUCUCAUCAGGGUGUUCCCAUAUGGAUGUUCCCAUUUGGGUGUUCCUAUAUGGAUCUUCUCAUCCAGGCAUUCCAAUACAUGGGUUCCCAUAUGAAUGUCCCAUCCAGGUGUUUCCAUCCAGGACUUUUCCCAUAUGGAUUUUCCCAUCCACGUGUUCCCUUUUGGGUGUUCCCACAUGGAUCUUCCCAUCACGAUGUUGCCACCAGGACAUUCCCAUCCAGGCUUUUCCAUCAGGGUGUUUCCAUUUGGGUGUUCCCAUAUGGAUCUUCCCAUCAUGGUCUUCCCAUCUGGAUAUUCCCAUCCAGGUGC